UGUGAUUGCUUGGUGAUUGUUUUUUGGUUGAAGGAAGUGGGAUAGAAAAAAAGACGAUGGCUUUCGCAAGAUUUCUGGAUCAUUGUAAAGUUACGUACACACAAAGUGCUAGAAUUUUCCUCACGGAUAAUGUAUCCAGUGAUGUCCUGAGACCAGUGCUUGUAAGACUGGAAACCCUUGAAAGGAGCAUAAGAUGGGCAAGAGGGAGGAUUCUCCAUCUUAAUGAUGCUGAUGAACUUCUCCCAUUAGUUAGCGAAUUUAUUCAACUUGUGAAAACCGCUUUGUCAACUGAAGAAGGUACCUUUGGAUAUCAA